AGGAGCUCACACAAAGCUGGGCCCUCAAGGGGCGGGCAGACUCUCAAGACAAAGAACACUCACUGCCCAACUCCAAGGGGUCCCCCCAAGUCAGAGCUUCUGGGUAAAGGGACAAGAUUGAGAAAUAGGGAAGGAGAGAAAGUGGACAGGAGCACACGAAUUGAUGACCUCAUAAUGACAAUGGCAACCAGCCCGUCAUACUGGGAGGGGGUCACACUUCUGACACCAAGACUCACAGGCCUGCCUCUCUACGUGGAAUUUUUUAUGCCAUCGAGAUCCAAAGGGUUAUGUUGGGAUGAAUUAGAAUGGCAACUAAUGUUCAAGAAGAAGUGCCAAGAGUGAGCUGGAUUUGAGAAGGGCCAGGAACAUCAUCGUGCAUUGGCGGACCUGAACAUGGCUUCAUAGAGAUGAAACAAACAGGAGUUUUAUCUUCAAGGACUGGAAGGUUGGGUGAAGUGAGGAGAAGGAGAGAGACUGUCCAGGUGGAAGGUGCCCCAGAGGCAAGCACUGAGAGAAAACCGACCACUUACCUUAGCAGCUAAACCCGGUACCAACAGCAAUGCAACUCACCGUCAGCUCCAUCAGUUCAGCCGCAGAGGUGACAGGGGACGUUCCGGUUUUAAGAGACCUGCUCCCUGCUGCUGGUGGUACACAUGCUCUCGGUGGGCAGAGGGACCCCACCUUGCUUCUCUGCCUCCUUCGAACAGCCUUGAAGCUCAAACGGAGAUUGUUUUGUCACUUUGUGGUCUUGUCAGCAUAUCGAUCAAUGAGUCCUGAGCACUAAUUAAUUGUUGUGUCAUCCAACUCGAUCCAUCAGGAAGGCUGAUACCCCUGACUGGGCACCGCGCCAAGAUCCAGCACUCACUCAGAGGGAAAGGCGGGGGAGACUGGUAAUUGAGGGAGUGGAGAUGUGGUCCGUUGAUAAGUCCAGAGAGAGAUGGGAUGCCAAAUACAACAGACCCGUACACAUCCUGACAGGGAGGAGCCCUGGGCAAAAUCGGGGAAUUGUCAGCCAUCUUGAUAUUUUGUACAUCAGGAAUUCUGCCUUUUGGUCUUCCACAUCAGCACCCAGCUUCCCACACGCCCCUCAUCUCCACGUGCCCCAACCCCUGUAGGGCAUCUCUGGAGCACACGAGAGCAGCAUUGAUCAGAGUGGGUUAGUAAAGCUGACCUGGAUGUUUUCCAUUUGAUCCUCCAUGUGGAGUGUCCACCCCACUCUCAUACACUGUGCUCCCAUACACUGACUUUUAUGCUUUGCUCGGCUGCACUAUCUCGUUCCAGGGCUGUUGGUUUGGUUUGAUAAGUGGGGAAUCCCUGAAAGAAAGCCAAGGGAGGAAGGACAGUGAAGUUGGGACCUUUCAUUCCUAGGCUGCCUUCUAUCUUUCUGUGUCCCUCAACCAAAAAACAGAGGGCCCUGUACACACAGGAACCCUCCCUCUGGGUUCCAGAGGCCACUCCUUUCCUUCGCCACUCAGGUCCAGAUUGGAUAAACCAUCUCACUUCUACUAGUCCCUGGGCACUGCUUCAUCUCUUGUGUGUUCACUAUAUCCUGCUCACACCCUUGAAUGUGAUCCCUUUGUUAAAGUCCCCCCAAGAUACCCAAAUGAAUUUGUGUGUUUCCUGUCCAUACUCUGGCUGCCGUGAAAAAAAUGUCCCCGUGGUCAAAUAACUAAUAAAAUGGAUUAUUUUUAUGGCUAGAUUUUUCAUAGCCUUAAACAUCCAUGGUAAAUGUCCAAGAGGAAGUAUAUAGUAUGCAGAUUCCAAAGCUUUCUUGACCAGAACCACACCCGUUAUCAGAGUUCAGAGAAAGUAUUUCAUGGAACCCAGGUAUACACUGGCAAGCAAUGAGGUGCACAGCCACCAGAAAACACACGGCUUCUUGGAGUAUCCCCUGGGGAGCCCAAAAGAGACUUUCAAAAUAGUAUGCAAGCUUUCAGACAAUGAUGCAUAAAGAAAAAUCCAACCCUAGGAAAUGAGACCUAAGACAAAGUCCUGCCUCUGUUUCUUUAAAUGAAAUCUUAGGUAGAAGCACAGUUCAAAAGACAGAGGGAAACCAAGCUGCUCUGCGUGGGGCAGGGUUGGGGGGAUGGUGGGGGGAGUGCUGACUCUCCAUACCUUAGACACAAUCCCUUAAAUGCUGCCCCUUGAGGCACCCCCAAGGAACCCACAGGGCCCCCUGGAGACAGUUUGGGGAAUACUGUCCCAGAAGUGCCCUUCAGUGCCUGCUUUGAUCUGACCACAAGGUAGUCUUCACGUGAAAUCAUCGUUGGCCCACACCUGGAAGAGGUAGAAGGAGCCGCUGAGCUUGCACUUAGGGCAAGGCCUGAAAAGAGCCUUAUGUGGAAUCUUACUUUUUUUAUUUCUGAAAAUGUGCCACUUUGGGACAACAAAUCAUUCCCGUUAUGUCAGGGCAAAAGAACUUUUGAGCUUAUUACACCCUCCUAGCAGGUAUCUUCAAUACUGAAUGACUCUUCCCAGCCAAUAUUCUAACUAUUAAAAUAUGUGAAUGAGUCUGAAAUCUGGACACAGAUCUCAUUCUCCCUGGAUACAAAAUGUUCAGCCUAAAAUGUAUUUGAAAGUUUACUGAUACCAAAAGAUUUAAAAACACUUUUAAGCUACCCAGGGACUAAGGACCCAGCCAGAGCUCCCCUUUCUUCCCCACCCUCCCCCAACAUCUCUUAGACUGAGCACUGAGGUUCCGGAAUGGUAGGGAGCUAGCUGGAGAGUGAUUGGGGAAGAUAUCCCAAGAGCCUAAGUGAAGCUGGCCAUGCCCCAGUGAGAAAGUUAACAAAUUCUCUCCCCAUAAAGCAACUAUGAAGCUGGAGAAAAUUAAUAAAAACAGCCAUUUCAGUGCUCUGGAAAUUGACCAAAGGAAUACAAAAAUCUGAGAAGCAUUUAUGCUUGACAAACUGGACUGCUGAACUUCCAUUAAGAACAGUGAGGGUUUAUUAACUCCAGGCAUUCUUUCCUAAAGCUGCUCUAUCCUCCUCCCAGAUCAGUCAGCACAGGCUCUGCCAGCACGAGGCAGGCUCUGAGUAGUGGCAGCUGUGCCACUGUGGUCGAAAGGGACUCGCUGGAUUUGGAGCAUUGCCUUCUCACCAUGCGUAGAGGAGCAGUGCUGUGAUUAGCAGCUGACGUCUCAUCCAAAACAAUGGCAGCCAGAGAAGUUAGGAAGACCUAGUCACAGUACUCAAAGAAACAAACAAACAAAAAACUACCAACCAAGAAUCAUAUAUCUAGCAAAGUUACCCUUCAGUAAUUAAGGUGAAAUAAAUACAUUCUCAGACAUAGACUGAGAAAAUUCUUUGCAAGCAGAUCUGAUUUGCAAGAAAUACUAAGGAAACUUCACAAGCCGAAGGGAAAUGGGCACCAUGACGUAUCCACA